rnacentral:sRNA from 2 species
UGAAAGUGUACCUAGGGUUCCGAGGUGCUUAUUAGCAUUUGUCUGGUCCGAGCGGUACAGAUAUUACUAUGCUUAUUUUAAAGUAAUAUUACACCUUGGGGAUAAAAGCCCGGACGGG